GUACUGCUGAAGAGUCUCAAACUAGGACGAAAUAGCUGUCCAGUAC
rnacentral:hammerhead_ribozyme from 1 species